AGGGGGGAGAUGCGAAGAUUGAAAGGGAUCUUUGCAAACACAAUCACGUUCUUAAAUGGAAAUGCGGGGCUUUAAACAAAUCUUACAUCUCUCCCGUUCCAGUCGCCUAAAAGUCCGCAAUCAGGCGCAUGUUCCACUACUUCUAAAACGGAAGCUUUUUGCUACAGUGGGACGCACAGUACGAUUUAUCAUUUCAAUCCCUGGACUAGAGCACGAUUUAACGAGUUCCAAACCUUCCAUCUAACUCUGUGACGGGCUUGAAAGCAUCAGGCUUGGGAUGCCUAAGCCCCUUCUCAGCUUCUGUCUACCUGUCUGCUGGGGUGUUGGUGCCUGGGCUUCAACCAUCAGCCCUAACCUGUGUGGCUUCCUGUCCGUCCACAGAGGGACCCAAUCCUCUACUUUGAAUUCAAAGGGGCCUGAAGACAACACAUCCUCACGCAGGCUCAGCAACACGCAGGUUACGACCCCAACAGGACAUACCACGCCACCCAGCGGGCUGAGUUGUUACGCACUACACGUGCGUGUGUGUGUGUGUGUAAGCCACAGGAGGUUGGUGACACCUUUAAUUGGGGAGGAUGGGCUUGUGGUUAGAGCUGGAGCAGAAUCAUGGUUUCCAUGUGUUUGAUGUGCUGAGCUGUCCUCCCCUCAGCAGCCUCCGCUGGUGUAAGCAUGUUGCCCCCUGCCGAAUGUCCAUCCGCCCUGCGUCUCCCCCUCAGCCCACCCAUCCUUCCUCUCUAUCCUAUCCCCCUUUAAUCCUCUCUCUUUUCUUCAUACUGGACCGGAAUAUGAACGGGCAAAGUUGGCCUCACACACACAGAGAGAGAGAGAGAGAGAGAGAGAGAGAGAGAGAGAGAGAGAGAGAGAGAGAGAGAGAGAGACACACACAGAGACACACAGAGACAGAGAGGGACACAGAGAGACACAGAGAGACACAGUGUGUGUGUGUGAGAGAUAGAGACCUUAUUUGAUCCAGCAGCCGUUUCUCUGGGGUGUAGAGUGAUCAGUCCUGAGAGAGAGAGAGACACACAGAGACAGAGAGAGACACACAGAGACACACAGAGACAGACACACAGAGACACACAGAGACAGAGAGAGACACACAGAGACACACAGAGACAGAGAGAGACACACAGAGACACACAGAGACAGAGAGAGAUACACAGAGACAGAGAGAGACACACAGAGACACACAGAGACAGAGAGAGAUACAGAGAGACAGAGAGAGACACAGAGAGACACAGAGUGUGUGUGUGAGAGAUAGAGACCUUAUUUGAUCCAUCAGCCGUUUCUCUGGGGUGUAGAGUGAUCAGUCCUGCCCCUCUGGUUACUCCCCUGGUUCUGGCACAAUAACAGACAACUCCAGCCUUACACACACACACACACACACACACACACACACACACACACACACACACACACACACACACACACACACACACACACACACACACACACACACACACACACACACACACACACACACACACACACACACACACACACACACACACACACACACACACACACACACAUUACUGCGCACUCACCAGAUAACUUAGCUGCAGUCAGAGGCCCACUGGAAAGUUAUUAAUGAGCUGUUUAAUUUUAAUUAGAUAGUAAUUCAUGUUAAUGCUUGCUUAAUGGAGCCAAAUAAUUCCCCUCGGUCACUUGGGGUCUUUAUGCUUCGUUUACCGGCCCCUGCAGUUAUUCUCCCCUUUGCCUUUAUAUUAGUUUUCAAGUCUUUCUAGAGAAUGGGAUUAUACAAUGAAUAUGAGAAACAUAUGGAGCAACUGAAGCGUGUGUGUGUGUGUGUAUGUGUGUGUGUGAGUGAGCACAUUCACUUGUGUAAGUGUGUGUGUGCCUACUAGCAUACGCUAGCGUGUUGGUAUGUGUGUGCAUCCAUUUGUGUGUGGGAGCUAGCAGGUGGCUCUCACUUUUAAAUGCACCACCCACUAAAUGAAUUAAGUCCAGAAAACAAAAGGUCAAGCUGAGUAUUGAGGGCACGCUGGGGUCGAAACCUUAGGUGGAAGUGCAGCCGGCAGUACAUCUCCAUAUGCCGACAAACUAGUACAGGGGUCGCGACCUGAGCAUGAGGGUAUGGUAAAAUGAGCAAACCUCUAGUCGUGUGCUCAGGCUGUUGUAGUUGUUGUGUUUUCAACACACCUAGAGGGUUAAAACAAUGUUAAAUAUAGGAGUGAGUGUAGGAGUAACCCAACGUUUUUGCCCUUACCAAACAAGGGGUCAUGGCUAAGGCACUGACCAGCCAGCCUGUCUCUCUCCUGUCUGGCCUGUGUACGUGCCGGGGCCACAUCAAGGCACUAAGCCAGCCGGCUGAAUUGAGUUAGUGGCUACAGACUGCUUUUAAUUGUUGAUUGACCAGUCUGAGUGCUGCCUGUGUCGGGGUCACUUGUGAUAGCACAGGGGGAGGUCCCUAGGCCCCAGCUGCAAUUUCAGCCCCACACGACCCAGAGAGAGGGAGGAGAGCGGAACAAGAUGGAGGGACUGACGGAAGGGAGGAGGGAGGAAAAAAGGAGGAGAGGAGAGUUGAAGAGAGAAGGUUCGAGAGGAUAUGGGAUGUUUCUGUUCUUGUUUGUUUGAUCGAAAAAUGGAUUAAUUAAGGGGUUAUUACACAUAGAUAAUACACAUGGGCUGAUGGGUCCCACAUAGAAGUUAUUUACAUCAGUUAUUGAAGCUCACGUCCAAGCUCAAGUAUGUUGGGGGUGUGCCUACCCCCGUACAACAAAUCCAUAUUCUUUGAUCCGUUUGACAAUUACAAAUUUGACUUUGUAUUCGUUCCAUUUUCUUCUCUACUUCUCCUUCAUCCUCUCCCUCUUCUCCUCGCCCUCCUCUUCUCCCUCUCUUCUCCUCCCUCUCCUCUCCUCCCUUCCUUUCAUUUGGCACAGGGGCACCAAAGCCCACUCUUGCAGUUUAAGCGGGGGUGCGCUCCCUCGCCCCUUUCGCCCCUCUCCCUCACAGCAGGUGCGUGUCCUUCCCUAACAUUUGUUAUCUCUAAUCCUGCAGGUUCCGAGCACAAAAAGAGCGUAGUAAAGUCUCUCACCACCCUAAUCCCUCCAUCCCUCAACUCCUUUUUUUGAUGGCGUUUUUUUUUUCUCUCUCCAUUUUGGGAAGGGAGAGACACUUCACUCUGAUUACCACACAGUUUUAUCUAUCUGGGAGCCCCUUAGAAAUUCAGAAUCGUGGGGGCUUCGUCUGUUGAGCUCCCCGGUCCCGGCUUUCCCUUUUUGCCCCCGCUACCCGUAUCACUUACAGUCAUUUUCUGGCAAUUAAAAGGGAGCACUGCUGCAGGUUUUUGGCCUGCAGUGUUAUGCUACAUCACUGAUGAAUAAUUCCUCAGCCUGCAAACUGGAAAGCUAGCCUUUCUUUCAUGUGGGGCUUUGUUGAUUUACCAUUAAAACUUGCUCUGCGGUGGGCUUUGCCGUGGAGGGCUGCUCUGUGGUUUGGUUUGUGAUGGAGGGGGAGACAUUAAAUAUGAAGUGUACAUAUGCUUCGUGUCAGUUUUCUAAAGUCUAAAUCUGGUAGAGUGUUGACUCAUUUUAUAUUUCUGCGCAUCUGGAAGGCUUGAAUUCAUAUAUACUGUUCAUUCUUUUCUCAGACACAUUGUGCUCAGACUUUAUAGUAUUACUUCAUCUUAAUUAAUCUUCAUCCAUUCAUUGAUUCAUAUGGCCAUUACUGCUUUAUUAUCGUGGUUACUUAUGGGUGAUUUGACAUCACACACAGGGACGGAUCUAUCACAUAAUCACACGCACACAAACAUGCAUGUAUGCACACACGCACUGCCCCCCCCCCCCACACCGUCUCUCUCUUUCUCUUUCUCUUUUUCUUUCUUUCUUUCUCUCUCUCUUUCUCACUCACUCUCACACACACACACACACACACACACACACACACACGCACGCACGCACGCACGCAUGCACGCACACACACACACACACACUGGUGUUGACAGUAUAGUAAAUUAACGAUACAGCCCCACUGAAUCCAUCCCUCUCCCGUGUCCCACAGCAGCCGCUAUGUUAACUGCUCAAGCCCUGGGUAAUGGAUGGCAGCCGGCUCUGUUAACUGCUCCAGCCCUGGGUAAUGGAUGGCAGCCACUCUGUUAACUGCUCCAGCCCUGGGUAAUGGAUGGCAGCCACUCUGUUAACUGCUCCAGCCCUCGCUAAUGGAUGGAAGCCAGCUCUGUUAACUGCUCCAGCUCUGGGUAAUGGAUGGUUGCCGGCUCUGUUAACUGCUCCAGCCCUGGGUAAUGGCUGGCAGCCGGCUCUGUUAACUGUUCCAGCCCUGGGUAAUGGAUGGCAGCCACUCUGUUAACUGCUCCAGCCCUGGGUAUUGGAUGGAAGCCAUUCUGUUAACUGCUCUAGCCCUGGGUAAUGGAUGCCAGCCGGCUCUGUUAACUGCUCCAGCCCUGGGUAAUGGAUGGCAGCCGGCUCUGUAACUGCUCCAGCCCUGGGUAAUGGAUGGCAGCCAGCUCUGUUAACUGCUCCAGCCCUGGGUAAUGGAUGGCAGUCGGCUCUGUUAACUGCUCCAGCCCUGGGUAAUGGAUGGCAGCCGGCUCUGUAACUGCUCCAGCCCUGGGUAAUGGAUGGCAGCCGGCUCUGUUAACUGCUCCAGCCCUGGGUAUUGGAUGGCAGCCGGCUCUGUUAACUGCUCCAGCCCUGGGUAAUGGAUGGCAGCCGGCUCUGUAACUGCUCCAGCCCUGGGUAAUGGAUGGCAGCCAGCUCUGUUAACUGCUCCAGCCCUGGGUAAUGGAUGUCAGCCGGCUCUGUUAACUGCUCCAGCCCUGGGUAAUGGAUGGCAGCCACUCCUCCAGAACCACGGAGAGGGAGAGAAGGCUGGACCCAGGCUACAUGGGCCUGGGAGGAAGCAGCUUCCUCCUGUCGCCAAUGUCUUUAUACCCAUCAUCUCUUACAGGCUGAUAUACAUAGGUCCAUACACAGUCGGAGACACACACAAACAUCCCCCUCAUACCAUCACACACUGAAGACAUGAUGGUGAUAAUAGUGGCCGAAGGCAUUCUCUCUCUCUCUCUCUCUCUCUCUCUCUCUCUCUCUCUCUCUCUCUCUCUCUCUCUCUCUCUCUCAUGAGCUGUGCACUGAUCAGCUGUACACACACACACACACACACACACACACACACACACACACACACACACACACACACACACACACACACACACACACACACACACACACACACACACACACACACACACACACACACACACACACACACACACACACACACACACAGCCACUCACUGCCAGGGAACAUUACAGACUGACACCUCAAAGUAAGUGUUCACUGUGUGUGUGUGUGUGUGUGUGUCACUGUGUGCUACUAAACACUCACAGAAAAUGCAUUAGAAAGGCUCUUCACUAUGCUGUAGCAGUUUGAAUGAUAUAGCCUAAUGCUGCUUCAUUGAAUUCCAUUAAUGAACUACUCAUUUUAAUUGACAAUGUGUUACAGUAAUAUCAUGUAUUGUAAUGCAUUAUUUAAAUCCGUGUAAUGACUAUGCAAAGCAUCCAAAUAAAGAAAUAUUUAAAUAAAAUCUAUUUUAACCCGUCACACUAUCAUUCUUAAUUAGUUAAAUUUCUUGUAUUUAUCAAAAUGUUCAAAGGGAUGUUCAAACCAAGGAUUGCAUUUCAUAUACUGUGCUCCCUCUCUCUGUCUCUCUUG